rnacentral:rRNA from 1 species
ACGGGGGGGGCAAGCGUUGUUCGGAAUUACUGGGCGUAAAGGGCUCGUAGGCGGCCAACUAAGUCAGACGUGAAAUCCCUCGGCUUAACCGGGGAACUGCGUCUGAUACUGGAUGGCUUGAAUCCGGGAGAGGGAUGCGGAAUUCCGGUGUAGCGGUGAAAUGCGUAGAGAUCGGAAGGAACACCAGUGGCGAAGGCGGCUACCUGGACAGAUACUGACGCUGAGGCGCGAGAGCGUGGGGAGCAAACAGGA